rnacentral:rRNA from 1 species
GACGAACGCUGGCGGCGUGCCUAAUACAUGCAAGUUGAGCGCUGAAGGUUGGUACUUGUACCAACUGGAUGAGCAGCGAACGGGUGAGUAACGCGUGGGGAAUCUGCCUUUGAGCGGGGGACAACAUUUGGAAACGAAUGCUAAUACCGCAUAAAAACUUUAAACACAAGUUUUAAGUUUGAAAGAUGCAAUUGCAUCACUCAAAGAUGAUCCCGCGUUGUAUUAGCUAGUUGGUGAGGUAAAGGCUCACCAAGGCGAUGAUACAUAGCCGACCUGAGAGGGGGAUCGGCCACAAUGGGACUGAGACACGGCCCAAACUCCUACGGGAGGCAGCAGUAGGGAAUCUUCGGCAAUGGACGAAAGUCUGACCGAGCAACGCCGCGUGAGUGAAGAAGGUUUUCGGAUCGUAAAACUCUGUUGGUGGAGAAGAACGUUGGUGAGAGUGGAAAGCUCAUCAAGUGACGGUAACUACCCAGAAAGGGACGGCUAACUACGUG